rnacentral:rRNA from 1 species
UGCGGUGAUAAUAUCAUGUGGGAUCCACCCGUUCUCAUUCCGAACACGGAAGUUAAGCCACAUAGAGCCGAUGGUACUGUACGGGACACUGUAUGGGAGAGUAGGACGUUGCCGCAU